GCCGACGUAGCUCAACUGGAAGAGCAGCGCACUUGUAAUGCGCAGGUUGUGGGUUCGAGUCCCUCCGUCGGCUCCA
rnacentral:tRNA from 2 species